UACGUAGGUCCCGAGCGUUGUCCGGAUUUAUUGGGCGUAAAGGGAACGCAGGCGGUCUUUUAAGUCUGAUGUGAAGGCCUUCGGCUUAACCGGAGUAGUGCAUUGGAAACUGGGAGACUUGAGUGCAGAAGAGGAGAGUGGAACUCCAUGUGUAGCGGUGAAAUGCGUAGAUAUAUGGAAGAACACCAGUGGCGAAAGCGGCUCUCUGGUCUGUAACUGACGCUGAGGUUCGAAAGCGUGGGUAGCAAACAGG
rnacentral:rRNA from 1 species